rnacentral:rRNA from 1 species
CCUACGGGAGGCAGCAGUAGGGAAUCUUCCGCAAUGGGCGAAAGCCUGACGGAGCAACGCCGCGUGAGUGAUGAAGGUCUUCGGAUCGUAAAACUCUGUUAUCAGGGAAGAACAAAUGUGUAAGUAACUGUGCACAUCUUGACGGUACCUGAUCAGAAAGCCACGGCUAACUACGUGCCAGCAGCCGCGGUAA